GACAGAGGGUGCAAACGUUGCUCGGAAUUACUGGGCGUAAAGCGCGUGUAGGCGGACUGGUGUGUCGGAUGUGAGAUCCCCAGGCUCAACCUGGGAACUGCAUUCGAAACUGCCAGCCUUGAGUGGUGGAGAGGGAAGUGGAAUUCCUGGUGUAGAGGUGAAAUUCGUAGAUAUCAGGAGGAACACCAGUGGCGAAGGCGGCUUCCUGGACACCAACUGACGCUGAGGCGCGAAAGCCAGGGGAGCAAACGGG
rnacentral:rRNA from 1 species